ensembl:snoRNA
AUCCCUUCGUAGUUCAUGAGCAAGAAGACUGGAUGUUCAUGAGUGUGUGUGAGAUGUAUCACCCAGUCCAACCUUGUUAAGACCUCAGCACAUUACCCAUCUGACC